rnacentral:rRNA from 1 species
AUUGAACGCUGGCGGCAUGCCUUACACAUGCAAGUCGAACGGCAGCACGGGAGCAAUCCUGGUGGCGAGUGGCGAACGGGUGAGUAAAGUAUCAGAACGUGCCCAGUCGUGGGGGAUAACGUAGCGAAAGUUACGCUAAUACCGCAUACGAUCUAUGGAUGAAAGCGGGGGAUCGCAAGACCUCGCGCGAUUGGAGCGGCCGAUAUCAGAUUAGGUAGUUGGUGGGGUAAAGGCUCACCAAGCCGACGAUCUGUAGCUGGUCUGAGAGGACGACCAGCCACACUGGGACUGAGACACGGCCCAGACUCCUACGGGAGGCAGCAGUGGGGAAUUUUGGACAAUGGGCGAAAGCCUGAUCCAGCCAUGCCGCGUGCAGGAUGAAGGCCUUCGGGUUGUAAACUGCUUUUGUACGGAACGAGAAGGUUUGGCCUAAUAAGCUGAGCUCAUGACGGUACCGUAAGAAUAAGCACCGGCUAACUACGUGCCAGCCGCCGCUGUAA